CGCGGGAGGGCCCGCGCGCGAGGGUCCGGCGGCGUUACCCCCCCUGAGGCGGCCGAGGGGCCGCGGCCGAGGGCUGUGGGCUGGGGGAGCCGCGGCAAGAUAAAGCCUGAAGCCUUCUUGAAAACUCAAAUGGACAGAAGAGCUGAGGGGAAAAGAUGUUGCAAGAAAACCUUGUCAUUGCACUCAAGGUUUCAUUUAUUCCACUGGACGAUCUGCAUAUACAUAAACAAUUCAACAAAUUAAGACGCUGUAAGCACAGCAAUUGUCUUUCCAGCUCACUGCAGGAGCAACACCCCUGGUGUAAUUCCAGGAAGGAAGCAAAACUCAUGGAGUCAGCACACCAGGGUU